rnacentral:rRNA from 1 species
UGAAGAAGGUUUUCGGAUCGUAAAGCUCUGUUGUAAGAGAAGAACGAGUGUGAGAGUGGAAAGUUCACACUGUGACGGUAUCUUACCAGAAAGGGACGGCUAACUACGUGCCAGCAGCCGCGGUAAUACGUAGGUCCCGAGCGUUGUCCGGAUUUAUUGGGCGUAAAGCGAGCGCAGGCGGUUAGAUAAGUCUGAAGUUAAAGGCUGUGGCUUAACCAUAGUAGGCUUUGGAAACUGUUUAACUUGAGUGCAAGAGGGGAGAGUGGAAUUCCAUGUGUAGCGGUGAAAUGCGUAG